UCGGGUAUGGUGUAACGGCUAACAUUGCCGCCUCUCAUGUCUUUGAUGGAGAUUUCUUACUUGUUACGCGGCAGCUCGGGGUUCGAUUCCCCGUACCCGAA